GUGAAUCAUCGAAUCUUUGAACGCAAAUUGCACUCUCUUCGGAGAGUAUGCCUGUUUGAGGGUCAGCCUAAAAAAAUCGACACCGUUGCUGUUUCACAGUGCCGUUCGUCGGAAAUUGGGUUAUUUUAAUUCUUUGGUUUAACCGACUUAAAAUUUUCUUUACGAUUCCAUGAACGUUUCUAAGUUUUUUUUUUUUCCACGUUAAAGGUAC
rnacentral:misc_RNA from 1 species